rnacentral:lncRNA from 1 species
UGGACUGCAACCUCCCAAGGCGUCUCUUUUGCUUUGGUUGUUCAUCUCAGCAUUAUUCUAUGCCUUUGCCUUCGGCAGGAGCGUUGUGGCUGCCUUUAUGUUGUGGGAGGACACAAAUGGCAGCGACAUCAAAGCAAGACAGAAGUAAGUUCAAACUUUUCGUGUGUGUGCAAUCUACGUUUUACUGAGGCCUCUUCCUCAUGUCUCCAACAGUGCAAUCCGAUUCCUAUUGACAAAUCCUUCUGGAUGAUUACAAGUUUC